ensembl:misc_RNA Y_RNA Y RNA
GGCUGGUCUGAAGGUAGUAAGUUAUCUCGAUCGUUCAGUCACAGGUCUAACUGCUUAUUCUACUCUUUCCUCUCUUCUCACUACUGCAUUUGACUAAUCUUAA